rnacentral:rRNA from 1 species
GAUGAACGCUGGCGGCGUGCCUAAUACACGCAAGUCGAGCGAACAGACGAGGAGCUUGCUCCUCUGACGUUAGCGGCGGACGGGUGAGUAACACGUGGAUAACCUACCUAUAAGACUGGGAUAACUUCGGGAAACCGGAGCUAAUACCGGAUAAUAUAUUGAACCGCAUGGUUCAAUAGUGAAAGACGGUUUUGCUGUCACUUAUAGAUGGAUCCGCGCCGCAUUAGCUAGUUGGUAAGGUAACGGCUUACCAAGGCAACGAUGCGUAGCCGACCUGAGAGGGUGAUCGGCCACACUGGGACUGAGACACGGUCCAGACUCCUACGGGAGGCAGCAGUAGGGAAUCUUCCGAAAUGGGCGAAAGCUUGACGGAGCAACGCCGCGUGAGUGAUGAAGGUCUUCGGAUCGUAAAACUCUGUUAUUAGGGAAGAACAAAUGUGUAAGUAACUAUGCACGUCUUGACGGUACCUAAUCAGAAAGCCACGGCUAACUACGUG